UUAGAGCAAAAUAAGCAUUAUCUGGGUCAUCGAGCAGCGCGUGAGCAAGAAGGCGGCGCGUGGCGGAAAUGAGCGUCGGCGAUGAGCGUUGAGUUCUCUUCGAAUGUAUAAAUCUGUCAGUAAAAACACCCGUUGGAGGUGUAAUUUUCACUGUAGGGUCAGCGUGAAUGUAAAUAUUAUACAGAUGCGGAUCGGAAGCAUUGAAGAAUUUGUGCCAUAAGAAUUCGAAGUGUAAAUCGGAAUUUGUUAGGAACAUAAAGGCGAUUUUGAGGAAAAUUGUAAAAGUAAUUAAAAGAGUGUAAAGGGAUACAAUGCUGAGAGACAAGAGCAAAAUAAGCAUUAUCUGGGUCAUCGAGCAGCGCGUGAGCAAGAAGGCGGCGCGUGGCGGAAAUGAGCGUCGGCGAUGAGCGUUGAGUUCUCUUCGAAUGUAUAAAUCUGUCAGUAAAAACACCCGUUGGAGGUGUAAUUUUCACUGUAGGGUCAGCGUGUAUGUAGAUAUUAUACAGAUGCGGAUCGGAAGCAUUGAAGAAUUUGUGCCAUAAGAAUUCGAAGUGUAAAUCAGAAUUUGUUAGGAACAAAAAGGCGAUUUUGGGGCGGCGG
rnacentral:lncRNA from 1 species